ensembl:lncRNA
UAUGUAUAACAAGAUGUUUUACCUUAAUAGCCUAUACACAUAUGUAUAACAAGGUUUUUCAACUAAAUAGCCGGUUAGGAACAUCUUAAGAUAACCGAGAAAAAAAAUCGAUUAAUUUACUACCUAGCUUAUGUCUGUGUGUGAGCACUUGUGAUGGACAAAGUUUACCAAUAGGUAGGAUACUCUCACGCUGACCUAUUUUUUCAUACUGUCAUUUAGGUUUAAGAUAGGUCUUUGCCAUUUUCGUCGGCAUAUUGAAAACACUUCCGCCCUUAAAAUGUAUCUGCGGGUAUAUCAAAGCAUUACGACUGCACCGAAAAAGGGGCGGGUAUUGUGUCAAAUAAGAGAUGCAUCGGCUACAGAACACACAGCAGCUGAAUACAGCGCAUCCAAUGGACAACAAUUGCGUGGAUAGGGGUUUGGAUUCGGUCUGUCUGAUGGUGAACGUAAAGGAUGAGGACGAGGAGGCUGUGAGUGUAGCCAGACAUCCCCAUUGGUCAUCUUUUACGUUCAUCAAGAAGGAGAACUAUGAGGAGGCGGGAAGAAGCUGCGAUUCACAUCCAGAUGCACAUACCAUUAAGGAUAGCCCAGACAGCCCUAGUGGAGUUAACAGGACGUGUAAGAAGAGGAAGAGGCGAAAGCGGGAGGAAGGGGACUGGCCCAGCUCUGUUGUGGAGGCUGAGGGCUCGGGCGUAGACGCGCUGUGGCGAUGCCGCCUGUGCCAGCACUGCUUCAGCUCUUCCUGGGAGCUGACAGGCCACUGCUGCAUGGGCAUUAUGGGUAGUGAGGGUGGCAAGGUGGGCACUGCUCCUGAGAGCAGCAGUUCAAAAGGGAUCGAAUUUUGUUGCCCUGUGUGUGGCGAUCGCUUCCUGAGGCCCACGGCGUUCAUCAUGCACAAACGGAGCCACGUGGGUCAGUCCCACUACGUGUGCGGCGUGUGCGGCCGCACCCUGAGAACCCUCCAGAAGUUAGCCGCUCACCGCCGGCUUCACACGCGAGCAGCAGUCUGCCGUCGCGAGGGCACAUCAGUCGCGGCUCAUCAGAAGGGCCAAAAGCAUGAGUCAGUAAACUCCGAUGGCAAGGGGGAGGAGACCAAAGAACCUGACAGCAGUGGGGAUGCUGUCCCCUCCUGUGCACAUCUGGCAGCCCAGGUUCUCCAGUCCCCCGAGUGCCUGCAGUGCUUCAUGACCUUCCGUGACGCGGAGACGGCAGAGAGGCACCUGCGCUUCAAGCACCCCGCCAAGUAUGAGCAGCAGAUCAGAGGCCACACCCUCUUCGCCUGCAGCGUCUGUGACCAGACCUUCCCCUCCUCGCGCCUGCUGUCCGCCCACCAGCGCACACACAGCGAAUGGUCACUGACCACAGCUGGCUCUGAGGACCCUUCACAGGACUGCACCCCAGACAGCAACGUGAACCUCAUGGCUGAUCGCCAUCAAGUAGAAGAAUGUCGCAAAAAUGGCAGCAUCUCCAUGAGUUGCAUCUACUGUCACAUUACUUUCACUGACCCUCGAACAUGGGAGCGUCACAUGACUGCUAAGCAUCCAGCAGCCCCGUCCAGUCUGGCUGCCCCAGGGACACCCCCCAGUUCCUGCAGCCCCCCAGCCAGAGCCUCCGGGGGGCAACAGAGACCCUACUGCUGUUUGACAUGUGGAGAGAGAUUCAUCCAGGAGAGCUCUCUUGCCAAGCAUUGUGAUGAAGCACACAUGCAAACUGAUACAACUGGAGACACAGACAUUGGUUAACAGACUACAGGUGCAAUAGUUUCCCUAACCAAUUGUCCUAACAGGAGUCCUAAAUUUCCCUCGGGAUUAAUAAAGUAUCCAUCUAUCUAUCUAUCGAUCUGAAA